GGCUUGAGGACCGUAUUCAUGGAAGAGGAUCGAACAGUAAAGAGCCCAGCAUUUGAUAAAAAUGAGAAUAUAUCGCCUCAAGUAAAAGGAGAUGAAGACAUGGGAGAUGAAAUUGACAGUAUGUUGGCUACAUCUGGAGGUCUUUUCUCCUGAGAACACGGGACUCCAACAUCUUCGGAUUCUGCUCUUGGAGGUGUGAGUCCCUGCCUCUCUGCACAGGGGAACUUAUGUCUCUCCACAUGUCCGCAAAUGUCUACCCAAGAUUAUACAUCUUCCAAAGGCUUUCAAAUACUUCUUUACAUAAACAAGGGGUUUGCCCCACAUCCUCUAUAUUGCAGAAAACAAGACUAGGCUCUACCUCUGUAGAUCAAGCACGACUGAAAUCCGUGCUCUCAAAAGAUGCUGGGGAGAAAGAGUGCCAUUCUUCACAAAUGCUGAUGUGUGCAGCUGAACAGAGCGUUGAGGAAACGUCAGUGAUUUUAUAACUACUUAUCAUGUUGGGAGAUUGUUGUGAUGAUUGCCUGGACUCUCAGAUGUUACACAGGCUGCAUCAUUGGACUGAAAGUGAAUGGCCCAUGUGUUGCCACUGAUGUGAGCCAUUUGCAGCCC
rnacentral:precursor_RNA from 1 species